GAUGAAGAACGCAGCGAAAUGCGAUAAGUAAUGUGAAUUGCAGAAUUCAGUGAAUCAUCGAAUCUUUGAACGCACAUUGCGCCAGCCAGUAUUCUGGCGGGCAUGCCUGUUCGAGCGUCAUUACAACCCUCAGGCCCCCGGGCCUGGCGUUGGGGAUCGGCGGAGCCCCCCGUGGGCACACGCCGUCCCCCAAAUACAGUGGCGGUCCCGCCGCAGCUUCCAUCGCGUAGUAGCUAACACCUCGCGACUGGAGAGCGGCGCGGCCACGCCGUAAAACACCCAACUCUUCUGAAGUUGACCUCGAAUCAGGUAGGAAUACCCGCUGAACUUAAGCAUAUCAAUAAGCGGAGGA
rnacentral:misc_RNA from 1 species